AAAAGAUUAGUUAAAAUAUAACCUUAAUUUGUCAAAUUAAAAUUAUUAAUUUCUAAUAUCUUUUU
rnacentral:tRNA from 1 species